GACGGAGGGUGCGAGCGUUGUUCGGAUUGACUGGGCGUAAAGGGCGUGUAGGCGGUCGGCCAAGUCUGGUGUGAAAGCCCGGGGCUUAGCUCCGGAAGUGCGCCGGAAACUAGCUGGCUGGAGCGCGGUAGAGGAGGGUGGAAUUCCUGGUGUAGCGGUGAAAUGCGUAGAUAUCAGGAGGAACACCGGCGGCGAAGGCGGCCCUCUGGACCGUUGCUGACGCUGAGACGCGAAAGCGUGGGGAGCAAACAGG
rnacentral:rRNA from 1 species